rnacentral:rRNA from 1 species
UACGGGGGGGGCAAGCGUUGUUCGGAAUUACUGGGCGUAAAGCGUGCGCAGGCGGCUUCGCAAGUCAGACGUGAAGUCCCCGGGCUUAACCUGGGAAUGGCGUUUGAAACUACGGAGCUGGAGUGUGGCAGAGGGAGGUAGAAUUCCACGUGUAGCGGUGAAAUGCGUAGAUAUGUGGAGGAAUACCGAUGGCGAAGGCAGCCUCCUGGGCCAACACUGACGCUCAUGCACGAAAGCGUGGGGAGCAAACAGG